ACUGACUGCACACGGAUUCUGGCAGCAAAGCUGCUGUGAGUGGUUCUGCGCUGGCUUUCAGCAUGACUGAAGUGCUUCCUCCGAUGAGCCGAAGUCUUUGCGUGGGUUAGGAAGACGUGUGAACUUGCAGCAGCCUGCAUCUGAAACUGGAACCUUGAUCCACCAGAGCUCUGCAAACUUGUAAAAACACCCCCUGGAACAAGGCAGCUGAUUCACGGGGUGUGGGCAGGCGCCUUUCCCCCUGCAGAGCUGGCUCUUCCACCUCUCAUCCAAGCCCGGGCACCAGGUCUUCCUGCCUGCACUGCCUCGGACACUGGUGUUGGUUUGGAUCUUGUGAGAUGCCUCCACCAAGGCUCCUCUGCCACAGCACCCAUCCCCAGCACAUCCUGCCUGCAAACAGGCCUCCGGCUGUGCCCUUCCAUGUGCCACCCUGUCUCCCAUUCCCUGGGCCCAUAGGUAAUGCUGUGCUGGGUUGUGAAAGGCAAAGCUGUGCUUGAAAAGCAGAGAACGCAAAGGAGGACUCUGUAACCCACCAGGCAAGGAUCUGACCUGCCACAGGAGAACAGUCUAUUUCUUAAAGCUACAUUUGCUUCCUUAAGACCAUUUAA